CCUACGGGUGGCAGCAGUGGGGAAUAUUGGACAAUGGGGGGAACCCUGAUCCAGCCAUGCCGCGUGUGUGAAGAAGGCCCUCGGGUCGUAAAGCACUUUCAGUGAGGAAGAACGCCUGGUGGUUAAUACCCAUCAGGAAAGACAUCACUCACAGAAAAAGCACCGGCUAACUCCGUGCCAGCAGCCGCGGUAAUACGGAGGGUGCGAGCGUUAAUCGGAAUUACUGGGCGUAAAGCGCGCGUAGGUGGCUUGAUAAGCCGGUUGUGAAAGCCCCGGGCUCAACCUGGGGAAGGCAUCCGGAACUGUCAAGCUAGAGUGCAGGAGAGGAAGGUAGAAGUCCCGGUGUAGCGGUGAAAUGCGUAGAGAUCGGGAGGAAUACCAGUGGCGAAGGCGGCCUUCUGGACUGACACUGACACUGAGGUGCGAAAGCGUGGGUAGCAAACAGGAUUAGAUACCCUUGUAGUC
rnacentral:rRNA from 1 species